GGCCGCCUGGCGAAAUGGCAUCGCGUCUGACUACGAUGUUGUCGUGGCUCACGUUGUAUCAGGAGAUUGCAGGUUCGACCCCUGCGGUGGUCA